rnacentral:rRNA from 1 species
AGUAUAAAGUAAAUCUGUAAUGACUUAUGGAUCUUAAGCUUUGCUUCCUGAUGUCAGUCGUGAUUACC